rnacentral:rRNA from 1 species
UACAGAGGUCCCAAGCGUUGUUCGGAUUCACUGGGCGUAAAGGGUGCGUAGGUGGUCGGGUAAGUCUGAUGUGAAAUCUCUGGGCUCAACCCAGAAAUGGCAUUGGAUACUAUCCGGCUAGAGGAGUGGAGGGGGAACUGGAAUACUUGGUGUAGCAGUGAAAUGCGUAGAUAUCAAGAGGAACACCUGCGGCGAAGGCGGGUUGCUGGGCCGACACUGACGCUGAGGCGCGAAAGCUAGGGGAGCGAACGGG